UUCACAGUCGUGGAGUCCCUCAGAAGCCCAGACGUCAUUUCCCUCCUCUCUCCAUUCAGUCCUCCCACCUCGACUCAGUCCCUCAGACCUCGUCUCCCUCUCCCUCUCUUCUUCUCUCAUUCCAUGCCUCGAUGCAGUACCCUAACCCAAAACCCAGUCCCUCCGAAGAAAUGGUCUCAUUCAGUCCCUCAGAGGCCAUUCCCUAACCCUAAACAACUCUAGAUCUAACCCAAAACCUAACCAUUUGCAAAACCCUAACCCAAAUCAGAUCUGUUGCCCUGGCUCCACUCCAUUCGUCUUGGUUCGUGCUGCGUUGCUCUCUACAGCUCCGACAGUCGAAACCGUGAAGAUCCGCUGCAUCGGUGUGCGCCACAAGGCUCUGCCAGACAAAGCCUCUGUUUUCCCCCCUGCGAUUCUCUUUCUCUCCUCUGCACCUUUGCUCACCGUGGAACGUCCAGACCGACGCCUCUCGCUCUCGGUUUCCGACACCGGCAUGCAUAUAUUUAUCCGCUCACGUUCCCUUCGUAAUAUUUUUCUAGGGCUUGCUUACGCUUUCUAUUUUUAAUGACUGUUAUCUUUUUUUAAUUGAUUUUCCUGUUGGUUUCCGGGGUUCUUGCGGCGCUAGAACCUGAUUUUCAGGUUCCUUCAGAGUAAAGCGCGCAUUCAAAUUUGGCUUUUUGAGCAGCGAGACCUGAGGAUUGAGGGCCGGAUCAUUGUAUUAACAGGUUGGGCAUUUCGGCAUAGCUAAGGAGUAUUGUAGUCAUGGAUUUCAGAAUGUUGGUUUAGUUGCUGAGGGCUGGAACUUGUGAAUUGUAACUGCAAGAACAAUUUCAUUACUUGAUGUAUUUACAGCAAGACUUUUUUGGCAAA